rnacentral:rRNA from 1 species
AGAGUUUGAUCAUGGCUCAGAUUGAACGCUGGCGGCAGGCCUAACACAUGCAAGUCGAACGGUAGCACAGAGAGCUUGCUCUCGGGCGACGAGUGGCGGACGGGUGAGUAAUGUCUGGGGAACUGCCCGAUGGAGGGGGAUAACUACUGGAAACGGUAGCUAAUACCGCAUAACGUCGCAAGACCAAAGUGGGGGACCUUCGGGCCUCACACCAUCGGAUGUGCCCAGAUGGGAUUAGCUAGUAGGUGGGGUAAUGGCUCACCUAGGCGACGAUCCCUAGCUGGUCUGAGAGGAUGACCAGCCACACUGGAACUGAGACACGGUCCAGACUCCUACGGGAGGCAGCAGUGGGGAAUAUUGCACAAUGGGCGCAAGCCUGAUGCAGCCAUGCCGCGUGUAUGAAGAAGCCUUCGGGUUGUAAAGUACUUUCAGCGGGGAGGAAGGCGGUGGAGUUAAUAGCUUCACCCGAUUGACGUUACCCGCAGAAGAAGCACCGGCUACUUCCGUGCCACAGCCCGCGUAAUCCGANGGUGCAAGCCGUAAUCGGAAUACUGGGCCUAAACGCACCCAGCGNCUGUCAAUCCGAUGUGAAAUCCCGGCUUUAACUGGGAAUGGUUCNAAAUGGNAGGCUUANUCUUUAAAGGGGGAAAAUCNCGNGUACCGNGNAAGCUUAAANUUGGGGAACCNCNGGAAAAGGGCC